rnacentral:rRNA from 1 species
UACGUAGGGUGCAAGCGUUGUCCGGAAUUAUUGGGCGUAAAGAGCUUGUAGGCGGUUUGUCGCGUCUGCUGUGAAAUCUCAAGGCUCAACCUUGAGCUUGCAGUGGGUACGGGCAGACUAGAGUGUGGUAGGGGAGACUGGAAUUCCUGGUGUAGCGGUGGAAUGCGCAGAUAUCAGGAGGAACACCGAUGGCGAAGGCAGAUCUCUGGGCCGUAACUGACGCUGAGGAGCGAAAGCGUGGGGAGCGAACAGG